GUGGAGAUUGGGCUCAUGUCCUCCGCUGCAAUGGAGUUAGCCAAGGAGCGUGUGCAGAACGCUUGCCUUAUAGGCCAGCCAUAGAGAAGGAUGUCCCAGAUGCAGGCAAAGUUUUGUUCAUGUGUUCCUGGAGGAUUUUUCUUGUGACAAGCGCUUCUGCAUCCUCCAGCAUGUCAGGCCUGUGCACCAGGCUUCCUGUGCCCAUUGAUGGACUGAGAGGAAGAUGAGCCCUUAGGAUGCCUGCUAUGCUCACUGUUAAGAAGAUAGGUGCAGCUCACCUUGGAUUUGAAGGCUGACAGUACACCAUUAGGAGGCAUCUAAUGGACUACCUCAACAAUCCUCCACUGGCUCAAGGUUGCAUUGACUAGAUCUAGCUACCCUCUGACUGCCACCUGAUGGCCACUUGUGGCACUAUGUGGAUAAUGUCCUUGUGCCUGAUAACAAAGAGGGAGAGGUUCAAUGGGCCCUCAUAUUGACAACAAACCACACAACUCAAUGGGGAUGAGCCAUUGUCCCAUAUGAUACAACAGCCUGCCAUUUCCAUCAAAUUGUGGG
rnacentral:lncRNA from 1 species